GUUGGCUUCACACAGAGAGAUCUCCAAGGGAAACUUAUUGGAGAUCGAGAAAUCUCUAGCCGAGCUUUCCUCCCAGCAACUCCAACUGGUUGAUUUGAAGAAAUCACUAAUGGAGGAACUUUGCUUAAUACAUGUCGCUUGUAACCACCCAAGGUUAGUGCAUGGCUUAGUGCAUUGUUUGCCAAACGAUGGAAAAAAAUUUAACACAGAGAGGAAGAAAAAAGCAAAUGUCGUAUGAAAUCUUUGGGGUGGAGGUUGGACUUAUGUUGGCCUUUAUUAUUUAUACCUAAACCCUACAAAUUCUCCAAACUGCAACACUUAAUUAAAUCCUUCCAAAUCUAUCUCCUUUUGAAUACAGGUAAAUUUAUUUGGACUUUUUCCAAGUCCUAAUUGAAUACACCCACAUUUAGAUGCACAUUUUAAAAGUUCAAACAAGUCUAGAUUGAAUACACCUAAACUGUUAUAGACUUUUUAAAAGUUUGUAUAAAUCCAAAUUGAAUACAACUGGAUUUUUAAAAUCUUUUUAAAUGCUCUAGAAUAUCCUUAUUGAAUACAGCCCCCUUAAUUUUUUGGCAUUGACAAUUUAUGAGAUUGCAACACAUAAUAUACGAUUAUUUUGAUGAAAAUUAUGUACCUAAAGUUGGGAAAAUAAAAGCCAGUCCCUUAAAAAAAAAAUAUUAAUUAAUUAAAAAAAAAACCUUGACUAUUUGGUAUGCUCUACUCACAUGCAGGUCGCAUAACUGUUCGGUACACCUAAGUGAACGUUCCAAAUUG
rnacentral:lncRNA from 1 species